rnacentral:rRNA from 1 species
GAGUUUGAUCAUAGCUCAGAUUGAACGCUGGCGGCAUGCCUUACACAUGCAAGUCGAACGGCAGCACGGGAGCUUGCUCCUGGUGGCGAGUGGCGAACGGGUGAGUAAUGCAUCGGAACGUAUCCUGGAGUGGGGGAUAACGUAGCGAAAGUUACGCUAAUACCGCAUAUUCUGUGAGCAGGAAAGCGGGGGACCUUCGGGCCUCGCGCUCUUGGAGCGGCCGAUGUCGGAUUAGCUAGUUGGUGAGGUAAAGGCUCACCAAGGCGACGAUCCGUAGCAGGUCUGAGAGGAUGAUCUGCCACACUGGAACUGAGACACGGUCCAGACUCCUACGGGAGGCAGCAGUGGGGAAUUUUGGACAAUGGGGGCAACCCUGAUCCAGCCAUGCCGCGUGAGUGAAGAAGGCCUCGGUUGUAAG